CUCAGCAAUUUGUUUUUAAUUCCUUCUGAAGACAAUGGCACUGCGGGGCCCAAUAGAUCUUCAUAGUAGCCUACUGUUUACUCCUUUAUGGCUUUGGGAAGGCCUCGUGCUUUCCUUGCGCUCCCCCAAGCAGCCUCACUGGGCGCCAGCACAAUUCCAUUACCUGGGUUGGAGGGGCAAAAAAACCACUCCAAAGAUUCCUCCUCUUCCUUUUCCUCCUCUAUUCUCCUCCUUCCUCGUUCUCUUCUUCCAGCUUCCCUUGUUUCUCCUCUUCCCUCCCCCUUUUAUUCCUCUUCCUUCUCUUCUUCGUCCUCUGCCUUUUCUCUUCUCUCUUUCUCCUUCCACUUUCUCUUUAUCCUCCUUUUCCUCUUUCUUAUUUUAUUCUCUUCCUUUCUGCUUCUUUAUUCAUUUUCCUCUUCCUUUCUCUCUUUGCUCUUCUUCUUCCUCUUCUUCCUUUAUUCUCCUCCUUCCUCCUUUUCUUCUUCUCAUUCCCCUUCUUUCUCAUUCUUCCUCCCCCUUCUCAUCCUUCCCUUUUCUCCCUUGUCCUCUUCCUUCUUCUCUUCAUCCUAUGCCUUUUCUUUUUUCUCCUUCCACUUUCUCUUCAUCCUUCUCUUCCUCUCUCUUGUUUUGUGCUCUUCCUUUCUGUUUAUUCAGUUUCUUCUUUCUUUCUCUCUUUGCUUUCCCCUUCUCUUCUCCUUUCACUUUUUUCUUCUUCCUCUCUCUAGUUUUGUUCUCUUCCUCUCUUUUUAUUUUUUCAUUUCCCUCUUCCUUUCUCUCUUUGUUCUUCUUCCUCAUCUUUUUCCUCCUUCUGUUUUCCUCUGUACUCUUUCUCUCCUUCCUGCUCCCCUUCUUUCUCCUCUUUCCUCCCCUUCUUGUCCCUCUUCUUUUCUCCCUUGUCCUGUUCCUUCUCUUCUUCAUCCUUUGCCUUUUUUCUUCUCUCCUUUCACUUUCUCUUUAACCUCCUCUUCCUCUCUCUUGUUUUGUUCUGUUUCUUUAUUCAUUGCUCCUCUUCCUUUCUCUCUGCUUUUUUCCUUCCCUUCUCUCCUCCUUCCACUUUCUCUUUAUCCUCCUCUUCCUCUCUCAUUUUGUUCUCUUCUUCAUUUCUCCUCCUCUUCCUUUGCUCAUUUCCUCUUACAUUCACUUCCUCCUUUCUCUUCCUUUGCUUUGUUCUCUUCCUUUCUUUUUUGUUCUCUUCUCUUUCUCUUUAUUCUCCCCUCCUUCACUUUUCUCCUCCCCCUAACUUCUCUUCUUCCUCCUCUUCCCUUUUGUUUGUUCUCUCCUUCUGUCUCCUUUCUCAUUCCAUGUCUUCUUCCUCCCCUUCCUUCUCUUCAUUAUUUCCUGCUUCUCUUCCUUUCUCUUUUUGUUUUUCUUCCUCCUUCCACCUUCUUUAUCCUCUUUAUUAUUUCUUUCACCCUUCCUUUCUUCUAUCCUUUCUCUUACUCUUUAUCCUAUUUCUCCUCUCUCUAUAUUCUCUACCUUCCUUUUGUCUUCUCCUUUUUAAUCCUUCUCACAUCUUUUAUUUCUUCACCUUCCUGUUUCUUCUUUUCCUUCUUCCACAUUAUCUUUUCUCCUUCAACCUCAUCUUCCUCCUUUUUCUUUCUCCUCUUUUUUCCCUUUCUUUUCUUUUUGGUAUUCCCCCUUUUUCUUUUCUUCACUCUUCUUUUCUUUUUCCUCUCUAUUCCUUUCUUCCCCAUUUCCUUUGCUUCCCAAGGUUCUUUAGGGGAGAACUAGACAUAAGGAGCAUCCUUCCUUUCAACUCUUCCUUUACCUUCCUCCCUCAUAGCUUUUGCCACCUCAAAGAACCACAGAAUCUUAGAAUUUAAAGAGAUCUUAGAGGUCACCUAGUGCAAACUCCCACUUCCAUGAUUUAUGACUUCAGCCAUUCACUUCUAUAAGCCAAGCCCCAAAGCAUUCUGGGAGGAGGAAGAGUCAUUUAUAGUCCAAUUCCCACUGUUUUCCUCCUGUAUUCCCAGCUGGGAGCCUGGAGAGUGGGAGAGAAAGAAGAACGAGAUUGGUGUUUUUCUUGCAAGCAAAGUUUUGUUUUUUUUUAAAUACACUACAGAUUAGGGCUGACCCUUUUAUCCCCACACCCUACUUUGGCAGUGGGGGUUGGGAAACAAAAUUCUGCGCCUCUGUGUCACCCAGUCUCCUCUCUUAAUAGUCCUCAUGUUCCCUUAAUUAGCCCUUCCACCAGAGAAACCUUCAUUUGGGAGGUUGUGC
rnacentral:lncRNA from 1 species